rfam:Dipodomys ordii contig_45674, whole genome shotgun sequence.
GGGAAGGUAGCUUAGUGGUAGAGUGCUUGUCUUGCAUGCAUGAGGCCCUGGGUUCAAUUCCUCAGCACCA